rnacentral:rRNA from 1 species
UCGAGAAUCUUCCGCAAUGGGCGCAAGCCUGACGGAGCGAUGUCGCGUGAUUGAUGAAGUCCUUUGGGAUGUAAAGGUCUUUUAUGAGGGAGAAAGUUAUUGAUAGUACCUCAUGAAUAAGGGGUUGCUAAACUCGUGCCAGCAGCAGCGGUAAUACGAGUGCCCCAAGCGUUAUCCGGAAUUAUUGGGUGUAAAGGGUGUGUAGGAGGUUGUAUUAGUCGCGUGUCAAAACUCUGGGCUUAACCUAGAAUCUGCACGCGAAACGGUACAACUAGAGGACGCGAGAGAUGUGUAGAACUCAUAGUGUAGGGGUGAAAUCCGUUGAUAUUAUGGGGAAUACCAAAAGCGAAGGCAGCACAUUGGCGCGCUCCUGACUCUGAAACACGAAAGCGUGGGUAGC